UACGAAGGGGGCUAGCGUUGCUCGGAAUCACUGGGCUUAAAGGGCGCGUAGGCGGGCAUUCAAGUCAGGGGUGAAAGCCCCCGGCCCAACCGGGGAAGUGCCUCUGAUACUGAAUGCCUCGAGCGGGGUAGGGGCAGCUGGAACUUUCGGUGGAGCGGUGAAAUGCGUAGAUAUUCGCAAGAACACCAGUGGCGAAGGCGGCUCACUGGCCCGAUACUGACGCUGAGGCACGAAAGCGUGGGGAGCAAACAGGG
rnacentral:rRNA from 1 species